rnacentral:rRNA from 1 species
UGGCGAAAGGGUGAGUAACGCGUGGGCAAUUUGCCCUUAAGUUGGGGAUAGCCACUGGAAACGGUGGAUAAUACCGAAUGUGGUCGUACAUCGCAUGAUGUACUGUCUAAAGGCGGGGAUCUUCGGACCUGUCACUUAAGGAUGAGCCCGCGUCCCAUCAGCUUGUUGGUAAGGUAACGGCUUACCAAGGCUUACGGGUAGCUGGUCUGGGAGGAUGGUCAGCCACACUGGGACUGAGACACUGCCCAGACUCCUACGGGAGGCUGCAGUCGAGAAUCUUGGACAAUGCGCGAAAGCGUGAUCCAGCGACGCCGCGUGGAGGAUGAAGGCCUUCGGGUUGUAAACUACUGUCAUGGGGGAACAACCGUCCGAGUAUUAAUAACUCUGGGACCUGAUGGUACCUUACGAGGAAGCCACGGCUAACUCUGUGCCAGCAGCCGCGGUAAUACAGAGGUGGCAAGCGUUGUUCGGAUUUACUGGGCGUAAAGGGUGCGUAGGCGGUUGUGUGUGUCGGAUGUGAAAUCCCACAGCUCAACUGUGGAACUGCAUUCGAAACUGCGGGACUUGAGUGCAGGAGGGGAGAGCGGAAUUCUUGGUGUAGCGGUGAAAUGCGUUGAUAUCAAGAGGAACACCAGUGGCGAAGGCGGCUCUCUGGAAUGUUACUGACACUGAGGUACGAAAGCUGGGGGAGCAAACAGGAUUAGAUACCCUGGUAGUCCCAGCCGUAAACGGUGCACACUUGGUGUGGGAGGUAUUGACCCCUUCCGUGCCGGAGCUAACGCGUUAAGUGUGCCGCCUGGGGAGUACGGCCGCAAGGCUAAAACUCAAAGAAAUUGACGGGGGCCCGCACAAGCGGAGGAGCAUGUGGCUUAAUUCGAUGCAACGCGAAGAACCUUACCAUGGCUUGACAUGGUGACCCUUCGGGGGUGGAGGUGAAAGCUUCCUUACUCACACAGGUGCUGCAUGGCUGUCGUCAGCUCGUGCCGUGAGGUGUUGGGUUAAGUCCCGCAACGAGCGCAACCCCUGUGGUUAGUUGCUAGUGUUUCAGAAAUGGAACAAGCACUCUAAUCAGACUGCCUGUUACAAGCAGGAGGAAGGUGGGGACGACGUCAAGUCAGUAUGGCCCUUACGCCCAGGGCUGCACACGUGCUACAAUGGGCGGCACAGAGGGAAGCAAGACCGCGAGGUGGAGCAAAUCCCCAAAACCGUCCUAAGUUCGGAUCGAAGUCUGCAACUCGACUUCGUGAAGCUGGAAUCGCUAGUAACGGCGUAUCAGCUACGACGCCUUGAAUACGUUCCCGGGCCUUGUACACACCGCCCGUCACAUCACGAAAGCCGAUUGCACCCGAAGUCGCUGAUCUAACCCGCAAGGGAAGAAGGUGCCGAAGGUGUGAGUGGUGAUUGGGAUG